GUCGAACGCUUUGUGGUUCAACUGAUUUGAAGAGCUUGCUCAGAUAUGACGAUGGACAUUGCAAAGAGUGGCGAACGGGUGAGUAACACGUGGGAAACCUACCUCUUAGCAGGGGAUAACAUUUGGAAACAGAUGCUAAUACCGUAUAACAAUGACAACCGCAUGGUUGUUAUUUAAAAGAUGGUUCUGCUAUCACUAAGAGAUGGUCCCGCGGUGCAUUAGCUAGUUGGUAAGGUAAUGGCUUACCAAGGCGAUGAUGCAUAGCCGAGUUGAGAGACUGAUCGGCCACAAUGGGACUGAGACACGGCCCAUACUCCUACGGGAGGCAGCAGUAGGGAAUCUUCCACAAUGGGCGAAAGCCUGAUGGAGCAACGCCGCGUGUGUGAUGAAGGGUUUCGGCUCGUAAAACACUGUUGUAAGAGAAGAAUGACAUUGAGAGUAACUGUUCAAUGUGUGACGGUAUCUUACCAGAAAGGAACGGCUAAAUACGUGCCAGCAGCCGCGGUAAUACGUAUGUUCCAAGCGUUAUCCGGAUUUAUUGGGCGUAAAGCGAGCGCAGACGGUUAUUUAAGUCUGAAGUGAAAGCCCUCAGCUCAACUGAGGAAUUGCUUUGGAAACUGGAUGACUUGAGUGCAGUAGAGGAAAGUGGAACUCCAUGUGUAGCGGUGAAAUGCGUAGAUAUAUGGAAGAACACCAGUGGCGAAGGCGGCUUUCUGGACUGUAACUGACGUUGAGGCUCGAAAGUGUGGGUAGCAAACAGGAUUAGAUACCCUGGUAGUCCACACCGUAAACGAUGAGUGCUAGGUGUUUGAGGGUUUCCGCCCUUAAGUGCCGCAGCUAACGCAUUAAGCACUCCGCCUGGGGAGUACGACCGCAAGGUUGAAACUCAAAGGAAUUGACGGGGACCCGCACAAGCGGUGGAGCAUGUGGUUUAAUUCGAAGCAACGCGAAGAACCUUACCAGGUCUUGACAUCCCUUGACAACUCCAGAGAUGGAGUGUUCCCUUCGGGGACAAGGUGACAGGUGGUGCAUGGUUGUCGUCAGCUCGUGUCGUGAGAUGUUGGGUUAAGUCCCGCAACGAGCGCAACCCUUAUUACUAGUUGCCAGCAUUCAGUUGGGCACUCUAGUGAGACUGCCGGUGACAAACCGGAGGAAGGUGGGGAUGACGUCAAAUCAUCAUGCCCCUUAUGACCUGGGCUACACACGUGCUACAAUGGCGUAUACAACGAGUUGCCAACCCGCGAGGGUGAGCUAAUCUCUUAAAGUACGUCUCAGUUCGGAUUGUAGGCUGCAACUCGCCUACAUGAAGUCGGAAUCGCUAGUAAUCGCGGAUCAGCACGCCGCGGUGAAUACGUUCCCGGGUCUUGUACACACCGCCCGUCACACCAUGAGAGUUUGUAACACCCAAAGCCGGUGGGGUAACCUUCGGGAGCCAGCCGU
rnacentral:rRNA from 1 species